GUGGGGAAUAUUGCACAAUGGGCGCAAGCCUGAUGCAGCAACGCCGCGUGAGGGAUGACGGCCUUCGGGCUGUAAACCUCUUUUAGUAGGGAAGAAGCGAAAGUGACGGUACCUGCAGAAAAAGCACCGGCUAACUACGUGCCAGCAGCCGCGGUAAUACGUAGGGUGCAAGCGUUGUCCGGAAUUAUUGGGCGUAAAGAGCUCGUAGGCGGCUUGUCGCGUCUGCUGUGAAAUCCCGGGGCUCAACCCCGGGCCUGCAGUGGGUACGGGCAGGCUAGAGUGCGGUAGGGGAGAUUGGAAUUCCUGGUGUAGCGGUGGAAUGCGCAGAUAUCAGGAGGAACACCGAUGGCGAAGGCAGAUCUCUGGGCCGCUACUGACGCUGAGGAGCGAAAGCAUGGGGAGCGAACAGGAUUAGAAACCCCGGUAGUCC
rnacentral:rRNA from 1 species